rnacentral:misc_RNA from 1 species
UUUUUUUGCUUCUCUAGUGGAUUGUAAAUACUUGGAAAAUUAUUAUCAGCUUGUUGCAAAGCUAUCAAAUGAGUUUUGCACAUGUGUUGUUCAUAAUGAACAAGUUUGUUGCAGCUCUAGUUAAAGAUUAGGGAAAAUCAAGGGAUCUUUUGGUUGUGGGGGACAGAUGAAACAUUUAAAUAUCGUUUAUUCAAAUCAAACAGAUUUUCUUCCAUUUGGGAGGGUGGGGAUUUGGAUAUUAGAAAUCCAAGGAUCUUUAAUCAAGCUCUUUUAUGUUACUUCCCCUUUCAGAAAAGAAAAGUUGGAUGGUGAUGAACUAGGAUAUUGUUUUGCUAAAAUGUUCAGAUGACGAACCUUAGAGCUACAUUUUCUGGACUAUCAUGAGUAGUGGCUAGCUGCAUAAAUUAGGAGGGAUGAGGGAAUGUAAUUUAAGGUUUUAUAGAGCUUUCAAUGACCUAGGAGUUUGGUUCAGUUUCUGCUUUAUUGGGUGUGCUCUUCCUGUUGCAGUAUAUAGGAGUAGUGUAGGAUAGUUUGUGUUUGAAGCUGAGGUCUAGCCAAAUCUUUCUACAAAAGACUGUUGAUGGGAUUUACUGCUACCCUUUCUCUUUGAAGAAGAGUUUUGGCAGAUUUAAGCACCCCUAAAAUAUUUGCUUUGUUUCUUUGGACAACAGCUAUUGUUUGCUUUCUUACUGCUGAAAAUGUAAGGAUAUGCAUUUUCUACAAAUUCACAUUUAUACAGUUUCUUUGGUUUUCACUAAAGAUUGCCCUUUGGAUUUUGAUCUGGGGUCAUUGUUUGAAUCUUUUGUCAUCAAGGGAUGAGGGACUCCAUUAACUUUUCUGAACAGUGUUGAAAAAGUAGCUCCUUUCUGUUUUAAAAAGUUAAAAUUUCCAUUACUCCUACUCUAUUCUGAAUCAUUGGAAUCUAAAAAUAUAAUAAAGCUUGAUAUGUAAAAAUCAAUGAAGCUCAUGUAAGUAUUUAUAUUAUUUAAUUGAUUCUUUCACCAGGAUAUACGCGGAGAAAUUAUAAUUUCCUCUUACAUCUCUGAAGAGUGGUGUUUUUUGGGAUGGAUUCAGUCAUAGUAGUGCAUAAUGGUGGAUGUCAUUGUGGAAGAGUGAGAUGGCGAGCCAAAGCACCAAGCAGUGUUGUAGCUUGGAAGUGCAACUGUUCUGAUUGCUCCAUGAGGGGACACAUCCACUUCGUUGUUCCUUCUGAAAGGUUUGAGCUUCUUGGAGAUUCCAAACAAUCCCUCACAACAUACACUUUUGGUACACAUAUGGCUAAGCAUACAUUCUGUAAGGUCUGUGGCAUAACGUCAUUCUAUACUCCUCGAUCAAAUCCAGAUGGAGUUGCAGUUACAUACAGAUGCGUGGAUCCAGGAACACUCACCCAUGUUGAAAUCAAGUAUUAUGAUGGCCAAAAUUGGGAGCGCUCGUACAAUCAAUCUAAUAUUGCUUCAUGUUCAAAGGCAGAUGUGCCAGUUUGAUUAGAAGCAUGUUAUAGUCACUGGUAGCUGGUACGUGCUUGUGCGAAAGUCGCAUGUUUUGGCUCUCAUUGUAUUGUGAGCAUAGAAUAACAUUUUGUUUCUAAAGGGAGGAUAAGAAGGGAACUUUAUUUUUGUAUUUUACCUACAAACCAACCAUUACGAGUGACACUUGUCAGAGACUUCUUUUUUUUUUUUUUCUUU